GUGCUUGCUUCGGCAACACAUAUACUAAAAUUGGAACAAUACAGAGAUUGGCAUGGUCCCUGCACAAGGAUGACACUCAAGUAUCUAAAUAUAAAAUAUUUUA
ensembl:snRNA U6 U6 spliceosomal RNA